GACGAACGCUGGCGGCGUGCUUAACACAUGCAAGUCGAACGGAAAGGCCUCUUUCGGGGGGUACUCGAGUGGCGAACGGGUGAGUAACACGUGAGUAACCUGCCCUUGACUUUGGGAUAACUUCAGGAAACUGGGGCUAAUACCGGAUAGGAGCUCCUGCUGCAUGGUGGGGGUUGGAAAGUUUCGGCGGUUGGGGAUGGACUCGCGGCUUAUCAGCUUGUUGGUGGGGUAGUGGCUUACCAAGGCUUUGACGGGUAGCCGGCCUGAGAGGGUGACCGGCCACAUUGGGACUGAGAUACGGCCCAGACUCCUACGGGAGGCAGCAGGGGGGAAUAUUGCACAAUGGGUGGAGGCCUGAUGCAGCAACGCCGUGUGCGGGAUGACGGCCUACGGGUUGUAAACCGCUUUCGCUCAUGACGAAGCUUUGUGUGACGGUAGUGGGUAAAGAAGCACCGGCUAACUACGUG
rnacentral:rRNA from 1 species